rnacentral:misc_RNA from 1 species
GGUGAAGAACGUAGCGAAAUGCGAUAAGUAAUGUGAAUUGCAGAAUUCAGUGAAUCAUCGAAUCUUUGAACGCACCUUGCGCUCCUUGGUAUUCCGAGGAGCAUGCCUGUUUGAGUGUCAUUAAAUUCUCAACCUCACCAGUUUUCUGAACUGUUCUCCGAGGCUUGGAUGUGGGGGUUUGUGCAGGCUGCCUCAGCGCGGUCUGCUCCCCUGAAAUGCAUUAGCGAGUUCGAUACUGAGCUCCGUCUAUUGGUGUGAUAAUUAUCUACGCCGUGGAUCGGGGCUUAGACUCGCUUCUAACCGUCCGCAAGGACAAUACCUUGACAAUUUGACCUCAAAUCAGGUAGGACUACCCGCUGAACUUAAGCAUAUCAAUAAGCGGAGGA